AAAAUCUUUAAAAAUAGAAAACAAUUUAGAAUAAUGCUUUAUUAAAAACACCCAAGUGUAACGGGAAUAAUCGUCAAUAAAAAUAUCAAAAUAAUGAAAUUCUAAAGUUGAACUAACAUGACUUGGACCUCACAUGUCUGAGUGAAUAAUAUCAAACUUAGAUGUGGCUCUAUUAUUGAUUCGUUUGGGAAAGAAAGCUCGAGUUUGUUUCCCAAGUUGACAU
rnacentral:misc_RNA from 1 species